rnacentral:lncRNA from 1 species
UUUUAUAGAAGGCUAUUUUUCAUCUUUACAACUAGAGGACCUUUCAGAAAAAUACCUCCAUAUACAAACCUCAAUAAUUUUCCUCUUCCGUCAUGCCCAAAACCCUAACGACCACUUUUCCCUGCUAAACCCCAGCUCCAUUCACCCUUCUCGCGUUUCAAAUUUCUCACAUAAAAGCACAGAAAAAAAGGAAAAAUAAUAAUGGUGAGCGAAAGGCAGAAAGCGGCCAGAAAACGGUACAAAGAAGCACACCCGGAAUUGUUCCCGAAGACAGAGCCAACGCCACCAAAGGAUCCAAACAAGAAGGAGAACAAAAAGAGCAAAUUCAAGCGAAAAAAAUCUGACAAAAAUGACCCAAACAAGCUGAAGAAAUUAUCACACAAAAAACACNNNNN